UACGUAGGAUGCAAGCGUUAUCCGGAAUCACUGGGCGUAAAGCGUCCGCAGGUGGGCAAGUAAGUCAAAUGUAAAAUGCCGGUGCUCAACAUCGGCAGCGUAUUUGAAACUGCUUGUCUAGAGGAUGGGAGAGGCUAGUGGAAUUCUCGGUGUAGGGGUAAAAUCCGUAGAUAUCGAGAGGAACACCAAAAGCGAAGGCAGCUAGCUGGAACAUUCCUGACACUCAUGGACGAAAGCGUGGGGAGCGAAAAGG
rnacentral:rRNA from 1 species